CUUCCCAAUUUUCUUAUGGUCUGCUGUGGAUGGCCCAAUUUGCUUCCACAGCCGCCGGAGCUCAACAUCACAGCCACCAGAAAAAAAUUGACUCUACUGCUAUGGUUAUGCCGAUGCAGGGCACUGAAAAAUCUAUCAUUUUUCAGUCUCUUAACUCCGGCGACCAUAAGCAGUGCUCCCUCGUGUGCCGUCGGUGGCUCCAGAUUGAAGGACAGAUCCGACACCGUCUCUUGCUGCGCGCUCAGAUAGAGCUCGCCACCGCGGUUCCUUCAAUUUUUUUUCGCGAUUCAAUUCGGUCACGAAGCUCGCGUUGAAAUGCGACCACAGAUCUGUAAGUAUCGGAGGCGCUGCAUUUCAUUGAGUGUUUUGAUUAGCAUCGCCACCAGCUUCCCUCAAGUCAUCCUCACUGCCGCCUCUUUUCACGAAAACCGGCCUCUUGUAAUAUGAUUGGGAGAGAGGCAAGGGCAGUGUACAAUGGAGGUCAAACUUUGGGGCUCACGUUCUGGACACCAAUAUGUAGAGACCCCAGUCCUGGAGAGGUUUGUUUUCUUCUUCAAGUAAUUAAUUUUAUUUGUUGUUAACUACUGUACUGAAGGUGAUUGGGAGAGAUGCAAGGGCGGUGUACAAUGGAGGUCUGUACUCAUCUGACCAAUUCGACCUCACUCAGGAAAACGUCGACAAGGUUCUCGAGGACGUUCUCCCUUACCUCAUCGCCGACAGUGGAAAUGUUGAUGCAGAGUGUCUGUCAAGAACGACGCCAUUUCUCUCCAGCUUCAAGAUCCUUUCAUGAGUUAUCUAUCUCUCUUCUUCAUUCUUCAAUUUUCUUUUUUGGUAUGCCAAACUAUAAAAUUGAAUCAUUUCUCACUUCCAUAUUCCUCUUAUUCGUGAUUC